GCUCGUAUGGUCUAGUGGUAUGACGUUCGCCUCACACGCGAAAGGUCUCGAGUUCGAUCCUCGAUGCGAGUA
rnacentral:tRNA from 1 species